UAUGCAUCACUGCAUGCCCUCUCUUUCUUUAAAGAUCUUGGCAACCCCACAACAAGGUGACAUAAUCUUUGAAGUAAAGGAGUUAUGCAGCGAGUUUGCCCCGCGGCCGUGACUUUUCCAAAUCUGGUAACUCUAUGCCAUGAGAAGGAGACAAUACCCGGGGCUAUGCCCAGACAUUCAGGUGGCUGCGGAUCAUCCCUCGGCCCGGCGCUCUCAACCCCCGCUUUCCCAGUGAUGAUGAGUGACGCGUGCGGACAGUGGAGCAGGUGUGCUGCUCAAGACAGCGGGUAACUGCCCUGGGGGAGGAGCCUGUUACAACUGCUGGAUCAACUUAGUUCCAGCUUUUCUACCAUGAUGUGAUUUACUAAAGUAAAUCAAUGGGCAGAUUAAACCUGCUUGCUUGGAAAGAGUCAUUUUCUGCCUGGGCUCUUUGCUAAAAACACGAAGCAUUCGUAUUAGGAGCACUAUGUCCUUUUCCCUGUCCUUUAUCUACCUCCUUCUCUAAACUUACAGCUGCAGGAUUUCUAGAACAUACUAUAAUAACUUCCUACUUAAGAUAAUGUUGGAUACAUAUAUGAACAGAUUACUUCCUCAGGUCUUCCAUCAAAAUCUGUAUCUGUGUGGGAAUUCAGGUUAAAACAGUUAAUUCAGCUGGGGAUAUAGCUCAGCAGCACAGCACUUUCCU